rnacentral:rRNA from 1 species
CCUACGGGUGGCAGCAGUGGGGAAUAUUGGGCAAUGGGCGCAAGCCUGACCCAGCAACACCGCGUGAAGGAAGAAGGCUUUCGGGUUGUAAACUUCUUUUGACAGGGAAGAGUAGAAGCCGGUACCUGUCUGAUAAGCCACGGCUAACUACGGGCCAGCAGCCGCGGUCAUACGUAGGUGGCAAGCGGUGUCCGGAUUUACUGGGUGUAAAGGGCGUGUAGCCGGGUUGACAAGUCAGAUGUGAAAUCCGUCGGCUUAAACGCAGGACCGCAGUUGAAACUGUUGAUCUUGAGUAAUGGAGAGGCAGACGGAAUUCCUAGUGUAGCGGUGAAAUGCAUAGAUAUUAGGAGGAACACCAGUGGCGAAGGCAGUCUGCUGGACAGCAACUGACGGUGAGGCGCGAAAGCGUGGGGAGCAAACAGGAUUAGAUACCCCUGUAGUC